ACGUAGGUGGCGAGCGUUAUCCGGAAUUAUUGGGCGUAAAGGGUGCGCAGGCGGUUUGUUAAGUUUAAGGUGAAAGCGUGGGGCUUAACCCCAUAUAGCCUUAGAAACUGACAGACUAGAGUACAGGAGAGGGCAAUGGAAUUCCAUGUGUAGCGGUAAAAUGCGUAGAUAUAUGGAGGAACACCAGUGGCGAAGGCGGUUGCCUGGCCUGUAACUGACGCUCAUGCACGAAAGCGUGGGGAGCAAAUAG
rnacentral:rRNA from 1 species